rnacentral:rRNA from 1 species
GCAAAACGCGAAGAACCUUACCAGGUCUUGACAUCCCGCUGCCCGCUCUAGAGAUAGAGUUUUCCCUUCGGGGACAGCGGUGACAGGUGGUGCAUGGUUGUCGUCAGCUCGUGUCGUGAGAUGUUGGGUUAAGUCCCGCAACGAGCGCAACCCUUGAUCUUAGUUGCCAGCAUUCAGUUGGGCACUCUAAGGUGACUGCCGGUGAUAAACCGGAGGAAGGUGGGGAUGACGUCAAAUCAUCAUGCCCCUUAUGACCUGGGCUACACACGUGCUACAAUGGACGGUACAGAGGGUCGCAACCCCGCGGGGGUGAGCAAAUCCCAUAAAACCGUUCUCAGUUCGGAUUGUAGGCUGCAACUCGCCUACAUGAAGCCGGAAUCGCUAGUAAUCGUGGAUCAGCAUGCCACGGUGAAUACGUUCCCGGGUCUUGUACACACCG